rnacentral:rRNA from 1 species
GCUUACGCCGUGCCAGGGGGCGCGGUAAUAGGGAGGGGGGAAGCGUUAAUCUGGAGUACUGGGCGUAAAGCGGGCGCAGGCGGUUUCGUAAGUCUGUCGUGAAAUCCCCGGGCUUAACCUGGGAAUGGCGAUGGAGACUGCGAGGCUAGAGUUUGGCAGAGGGGGGUAGAAUUCCACGUGUAGCAGUGAAAUGCGUAGAGAUGUGGAGGAACACCGAUGGCGAAGGCAGCCCCCUGGGUCAAAACUGACGCUCAUGCACGAAAGCGUGGGGAGCAAACAGGAUUAGAUACCCCAGUAGUC